rnacentral:pre_miRNA from 8 species
AGCAGGCCUCCUGAGUGGGGGGUGAGGGACUGGAGAGAAAGGCAGUUCCUGAUGGUCCCCUCCCCAGGGGCUGGCUUUCCUCCGGCCCCUCCUUCCUGAUGACUGCGUCUGCACCA